UGGAGAAUUGAGGGGGGCUGCUCCUAGUACGAGAGGACCGGAGUGGACGCAUCACUGGUGUUCGGGUUGUCAUGCCAAUGGCACUGCCCGGUAGCUAAAUGCGGAAGAGAUAAGUGCUGAAAGCAUCUAAGCACGAAACUUGCCCCGAGAUGAGUUCUCCCUGAGACUUUAAGUCUCCUGAAGGAACGUUGAAGACGACGACGUUGAUAGGCCGGGUGUGUAAGCGCAGCGAUGCGUUGAGCUAACCGGUACUAAUGAACCGUGAGGCUUAACCUUACAACGCCGAAG
rnacentral:rRNA from 1 species